GCGCCCGUAGCUCAGAUGGAUAGAGCGGCAGACUCCGGAUCUGCAGGCCACGCGUUCGAAUCGCGUCGGGCGCU
rnacentral:tRNA from 2 species